CAGGUGUGGUUUAGUGGUAAAACGUCGCCUUGCCAAGGCGGAGUCGGGGGUUCAAUUCCCCUCACCUG
rnacentral:tRNA from 1 species